UCUGAUUCCAGAUUUAAAUAGCAGAGAAGUAGACCAAGAUGUCAUACCAUUUAAGUUUUUGUCUAAAGUGCUGGCUUUGAAUAGAAGAGAACUAGGCCAAUAUGUCAUUCUCUCUUGGUUUUUGGCUAAAGUGCUGGAGGGAGAUGUGGAAUGUUUCUCAGAGUACAUGGAGGUGUGGGUCCACAGAAUGAGAAAAGAGGGCUUGAGACUGUCUCUCCUUCCGGGCCCUAAGAAUUGAAG